CUCCUGUGAAACUCUCGAGUGGGGAUUAUCAUCUGUCCCCACACCACAGGGUUCAGAGCUCGUCCUCCUGGGGAGACUCUCCUUGGGGGAUAACUUGGGGGAAA